rnacentral:rRNA from 1 species
UACGAAGGGGCUAGCGUUGCUCGGAAUCACUGGGCGUAAAGGGUGCGUAGGCGGGGUCUUUUAAGUCAGGGGUGAAAUCCUGGAGCUCAACUGCCCAGAACUGCCUUUGAUACUGAAGAUCUUGAGUUCGGGAGAGGUGAGUGGAACUGCGAGUGUAGAGGUGAAAAUUCGUAGAUAUUCGCAAGAACACCAGUGGCGAAGGCGGCUCACUGGCCCGAUACUGACGCUGAGGCACGAAAGCGAUGGGGAGCAAACA